UACGGGGGGGGCAAGCGUUGUUCGGAAUCACUGGGUUUAAAGGGCGCGUAGGCGGGCUACCAAGUCUGGGGUGAAAUCCCACGGCUCAACCGUGGAACUGCCUCGGAUACUGGCGGCCUCGAGGGAGGUAGGGGCGUGCGGAACUGUGGGUGGAGCGGUGAAAUGCGUUGAUAUCCACAGGAACUCCGGUGGCGAAGGCGGCACGCUGGACCUUUUCUGACGCUGAGGCGCGAAAGCCAGGGGAGCAAACGGG
rnacentral:rRNA from 1 species